rnacentral:rRNA from 1 species
UGGGUAACCUGCCUCAAAGAGGGGAAUAGCCUCCCGAAAGGGGAGAUUAAUACCGCAUAAUAUGUUUAAGUCGCAUGACUUUAACAUCAAAGAAUUUUUCUUUUAGAAAUUCCACUUUGAGAUGGACCCGCGGCGCAUUAGCUAGUUGGUGAGGUAACGGCUCACCAAGGCAACGAUGCGUAGCCGACCUGAGAGGGUGAUCCGGCCACAUUGGAACUGAGACNCGGUCCAGACUCCGUAGGG